GAUAAAGUGGCUGAGUAUAAGCGUUAGAUUGUAAAUCUAAUAACGAAAUUAAUAUUUCCUUUAUCA
rnacentral:tRNA from 1 species